rnacentral:rRNA from 2 species
AUGAGGCGAACCGGGGGAACUGAAACAUCUAAGUACCCCGAGGAAAAGAAAUCAACCGAGAUUCCCCCAGUAGCGGCGAGCGAACGGGGAGCAGCCCAGAGCCUGAAUCAGUGUGUGUGUUAGUGGAAGCGUCUGGAAAGGCGUGCGAUACAGGGUGACAGCCCCGUACACAAAAAUGCACAUAUUGUGAGCUCGAUGAGUAGGGCGGGACACGUGGUAUCCUGUCUGAAUAUGGGGGGACCAUCCUCCAAGGCUAAAUACUCCUGACUGACCGAUAGUGAACCAGUACCGUGAGGGAAAGGCGAAAAGAACCCCGGCGAGGGGAGUGAAAAAGAACCUGAAACCGUGUACGUACAAGCAGUGGGAGCACGCUUAGGCGUGUGACUGCGUACCUUUUGUAUAAUGGGUCAGCGACUUAUAUUCUGUAGCAAGGUUAACCGAAUAGGGGAGCCGAAGGGAAACCGAGUCUUAACUGGGCGUUAAGUUGCAGGGUAUAGACCCGAAACCCGGUGAUCUAGCCAUGGGCAGGUUGAAGGUUGGGUAACACUAACUGGAGGACCGAACCGACUAAUGUUGAAAAAUUAGCGGAUGACUUGUGGCUGGGGGUGAAAGGCCAAUCAAACCGGGAGAUAGCUGGUUCUCCCCGAAAGCUAUUUAGGUAGCGCCUCGUGAAUUCAUCUCCGGGGGUAGAGCACUGUUUCGGCAAGGGGGUCAUCCCGACUUACCAACCCGAUGCAAACUGCGAAUACCGGAGAAUGUUAUCACGGGAGACACACGGCGGGUGCUAACGUCCGUCGUGAAGAGGGAAACAACCCAGACCGCCAGCUAAGGUCCCAAAGUCAUGGUUAAGUGGGAAACGAUGUGGGAAGGCCCAGACAGCCAGGAUGUUGGCUUAGAAGCAGCCAUCAUUUAAAGAAAGCGUAAUAGCUCACUGGUCGAGUCGGCCUGCGCGGAAGAUGUAACGGGGCUAAACCAUGCACCGAAGCUGCGGCAGCGACACUAUGUGUUGUUGGGUAGGGGAGCGUUCUGUAAGCCUGUGAAGGUGUACUGUGAGGUAUGCUGGAGGUAUCAGAAGUGCGAAUGCUGACAUAAGUAACGAUAAAGCGGGUGAAAAGCCCGCUCGCCGGAAGACCAAGGGUUCCUGUCCAACGUUAAUCGGGGCAGGGUGAGUCGACCCCUAAGGCGAGGCCGAAAGGCGUAGUCGAUGGGAAACAGGUUAAUAUUCCUGUACUUGGUGUUACUGCGAAGGGGGGACGGAGAAGGCUAUGUUGGCCGGGCGACGGUUGUCCCGGUUUAAGCGUGUAGGCUGGUUUUCCAGGCAAAUCCGGAAAACUAAGGCUGAGGCGUGAUGACGAGGCACUACGGUGCUGAAGCAACAAAUGCCCUGCUUCCAGGAAAAGCCUCUAAGCAUCAGGUAACAUCAAAUCGUACCCCAAACCGACACAGGUGGUCAGGUAGAGAAUACCAAGGCGCUUGAGAGAACUCGGGUGAAGGAACUAGGCAAAAUGGUGCCGUAACUUCGGGAGAAGGCACGCUGAUAUGUAGGUGAAGUCCCUCGCGGAUGGAGCUGAAAUCAGUCGAAGAUACCAGCUGGCUGCAACUGUUUAUUAAAAACACAGCACUGUGCAAACACGAAAGUGGACGUAUACGGUGUGACGCCUGCCCGGUGCCGGAAGGUUAAUUGAUGGGGUCAGCGCAAGCGAAGCUCUUGAUCGAAGCCCCGGUAAACGGCGGCCGUAACUAUAACGGUCCUAAGGUAGCGAAAUUCCUUGUCGGGUAAGUUCCGACCUGCACGAAUGGCGUAAUGAUGGCCAGGCUGUCUCCACCCGAGACUCAGUGAAAUUGAACUCGCUGUGAAGAUGCAGUGUACCCGCGGCAAGACGGAAAGACCCCGUGAACCUUUACUAUAGCUUGACACUGAACAUUGAGCCUUGAUGUGUAGGAUAGGUGGGAGGCUUUGAAGUGUGGACGCCAGUCUGCAUGGAGCCGACCUUGAAAUACCACCCUUUAAUGUUUGAUGUUCUAACGUUGACCCGUAAUCCGGGUUGCGGACAGUGUCUGGUGGGUAGUUUGACUGGGGCGGUCUCCUCCUAAAGAGUAACGGAGGAGCACGAAGGUUGGCUAAUCCUGGUCGGACAUCAGGAGGUUAGUGCAAUGGCAUAAGCCAGCUUGACUGCGAGCGUGACGGCGCGAGCAGGUGCGAAAGCAGGUCAUAGUGAUCCGGUGGUUCUGAAUGGAAGGGCCAUCGCUCAACGGAUAAAAGGUACUCCGGGGAUAACAGGCUGAUACCGCCCAAGAGUUCAUAUCGACGGCGGUGUUUGGCACCUCGAUGUCGGCUCAUCACAUCCUGGGGCUGAAGUAGGUCCCAAGGGUAUGGCUGUUCGCCAUUUAAAGUGGUACGCGAGCUGGGUUUAGAACGUCGUGAGACAGUUCGGUCCCUAUCUGCCGUGGGCGCUGGAGAACUGAGGGGGGCUGCUCCUAGUACGAGAGGACCGGAGUGGACGCAUCACUGGUGUUCGGGUUGUCAUGCCAAUGGCACUGCCCGGUAGCUAAAUGCGGAAGAGAUAAGUGCUGAAAGCAUCUAAGCACGAAACUUGCCCCGAGAUGAGUUCUCCCUGACUCCUUGAGAGUCCUGAAGGAACGUUGAAGACGACGACGUUGAUAGGCCGGGUGUGUAAGCGCAGCGAUGCGUUGAGCUAACCGGUACUAAUGAACCGUGAGGCUUAACCUUACAACGCCGAAGGUGUUU